rnacentral:rRNA from 1 species
ACCCUUAGAUGUUCUGGGCCGCACGCGUGCUACACUGACCGGUGCAACAAGUUUCUUUCCUUGGCUCGAUAGGCCUGGGUAAUCUUUGAACACCGGUCGUGAUGGGGAUAGAUCCUUGCAAUUUUUGAUCUUCAACGAGGAAUUCCUAGUAAAUGCGAGUCAUCAUCUCGCGUUGAUUACGUCCCUGCCCUUUGUACACACCGCCCGUCGCACCUACCGAUUGAAUGGUCCGGUGAAGCCUCCGGAUUGCGCGGCUUCGGCUGUCGCGAGAAGUUGGCUAAACCUUACCAUUUAGAGGAAGGUGAAGUCGUAACA